rnacentral:other from 1 species
CGGUGGCUGCGGGUUGCGUAACAGGCACUUAUCCCGGGGACCAUGGAUCAUCCUUGGGAGCUGGCUCUAUCCGGAUCGUGGUCCGGUUAAUUCCGGUGCCCACCUGUAGCAACAGGUUCACGGGGAUUUGCAAGCCUCCACGGACCAUGUGGUCAUCGU